rnacentral:tRNA from 2 species
GGUGUUGUGCCAGAAAAAUUGGGUUGUCUUGAUGAGGCAAAUUAUGGGAAUUUUCUCCGACACUU